rnacentral:rRNA from 1 species
CCCGCGACAGGCGGUGGAGCAUGUGGUUUAAUUCGAAGCAACGCGAAGAACCUUACCAGGUCUUGACAUCCCGAUGCUAUUUCUAGAGAUAGAAAGUUACUUCGGUACAUCGGUGACAGGUGGUGCAUGGUUGUCGUCAGCUCGUGUCGUGAGAUGUUGGGUUAAGUCCCGCAACGAGCGCAACCCCUAUUGUUAGUUGCCAUCAUUCAGUUGGGCACUCUAGCGAGACUGCCGGUAAUAAACCGGAGGAAGGUGGGGAUGACGUCAAAUCAUCAUGCCCCUUAUGACCUGGGCUACACACGUGCUACAAUGGUUGGUACAACGAGUUGCGAGUCGGUGACGGCGAGCUAAUCUCUUAAAGCCAAUCUCAGUUCGGAUUGUAGGCUGCAACUCGCCUACAUGAAGUCGGAAUCGCUAGUAAUCGCGGAUCAGCACGCCGCGGUGAAUACGUUCCCGGGCCUU